CAGUAGCCGCGGUAAAACGGAGGGUGCAAGCGUUAAUCGGAAUUACUGGGCGUAAAGCGCACGCAGGCGGUCUGACAAGUCAGAUGUGAAAUCCCCGGGCUUAACCUGGGAACUGCAUUUGAAACUGUCAGGCUGGAGUCUUGUAGAGGGGGGUGGAAUUCCAGGUGUAGCGGUGAAAUGCGUAGAGAUCUGGAGGAAUACCGGUGGCGAAGGCGGCCCCCUGGACAAAGACUGACGCUCAGGUGCGAAAGCGUGGGGAGCAAACAGGAUUAGAUACCCGGGUAGUCCCUGUCUCUUAUAC
rnacentral:rRNA from 1 species